AGUGAACGCUGGCGGUAGGCCUAACACAUGCAAGUCGAACGGCAGCACAGUAAGAGCUUGCUCUUACGGGUGGCGAGUGGCGGACGGGUGAGGAAUACAUCGGAAUCUACUUUUUCGUGGGGGAUAACGUAGGGAAACUUACGCUAAUACCGCAUACGACCUACGGGUGAAAGCAGGGGAUCUUCGGACCUUGCGCGAUUGAAUGAGCCGAUGUCGGAUUAGCUAGUUGGCGGGGUAAAGGACCACCAAGGCGACGAUCCGUAGCUGGUCUGAGAGGAGGAUAAGCCACACUGGAACUGUGACACGGUCCAGACUCCUACGGGAGGCAGCAGUGGGGAAUAUUGGACAAUGGGCGCAAGCCUGAUCCAGCCAUACCGCGUGGGUGAAGAAGGCCUUCGGGUUUUAAAGCCAUUUUGUUGGGAAAGAAAAGCAGCAGGUUAAUACCCCGCUGUUCUGACGGUACCCAAAGAAUAAGCACCGGCUAACUUCGUG
rnacentral:rRNA from 1 species